rnacentral:rRNA from 1 species
UACGUAGGGGGCAAGCGUUGUCCGGAUUUAUUGGGCGUAAAGAGCGUGUAGGCGGCCAGACAGGUCCGUUGUGAAAACUCGAGGCUCAACCUCGAGAUGUCGAUGGAAACCGUCUGGCUAGAGUCCGGAAGAGGAGAGUGGAAUUCCUGGUGUAGCGGUGAAAUGCGCAGAUAUCAGGAAGAACACCAAUGGCGAAAGCAGCUCUCUGGGACGGUACUGACGCUGAGACGCGAAAGCGUGGGGAGCGAACAGG